rnacentral:lncRNA from 1 species
CUAAAAGACAAAAAGAAAAAGCACCUUGCGAAAUUCUUUAAUUUUACUCUCCGAUAUAUUGAUGAUGUUCUAUCAUUGAAUAACCCAUAUUUCAGCCAAUACUUACAUCUCAUAUAUCCCAGUGAACUUGAAAUUAAGGAUACUACUGAUACUAGAAGGACUGCUUCAUACCUUGAUCUUUUCCUCAAUAUUGACGCAGAUGGACGACUUCACACGAAAAUCUAUGAUAAACUGGAC